rnacentral:lncRNA from 1 species
CUGCACUCCAGCCUAGGUGACACAGUGAGACCCUGUCUCAAAAAUAAACAAAUAAAACCAGCUAGAGCAUAUAAGGUGCCAGAGUGGGAAAUCAGGUGCUGGACGUCAGCAGAGGCUGGUUUACAAAGGCCCGUGCCACACAAUGAGGUUCAGACUUCCUUUGUCUUUAGGCAGUGACUCCAUGGCCAUAUUCUCCCUCUCUCUAAACCCUUCCCACAGGCCACAGGUAGACAUUAGUGACAGCUUCUUACCUUCACUGUAUUUUACCUGCCCAUAUCUACCUGAACCUACAGACGAAAGUCCCAUCUCUUAUACACAGACACACAUGCAGACACGUGUGCACACACACACUGGCCCUCUAGGGGGACCUUUGUCCAACCCACCCCAGAUACAGCUGGGAGAGACAGCGACCCUGCCUCUGGGUGCUUAUAGUUUCAGGAGCAUCAGCCAAACAUUAUAUGAGACACAAAGAAACUGUCAGCAAGAUAGAUUCAGCAACUUCGUUUGCCCUUUGAUAUGAAUAAAACCUUCUCAGGACCAGCUUAGGCUAAGCUGUGUGGAAAUGGGAAGCAGGCAUAGAGCUGAGCCCAGUGGCCCCCAGCACUGCCCUGUCCCCACCUGUGUCUUGCUACGGCUGCCUGGUCAGUCCUGCUCUCAGAUAUCUGGACCCCUGCAACUCCUCACUUCCCUAACUCUUCCUCGCCUUGUUACCAUCUAAUGAUUGGCGUCCACCACAUCCUAUAUCACCAGUUAGGAGGUGAGUUUCUCAUGAGCAAAACUAGGGCGUGGCUUAUCCUGGGCACCUCCCACAGCCUAGCACUCAGGUGCUCAGUAAAUGUGGGGUGAACAGGACCUAGCAUGCUGGGC